GAUGAGAAGAGCUUGCUCUUCGAUUCAGCGGCGGACGGGUGAGUAAUGCCUAGGAAUCUGCCUGGUAGUGGGGGACAACGUUUCGAAAGGAACGCUAAUACCGCAUACGUCCUACGGGAGAAAGCAGGGGACCUUCGGGCCUUGCGCUAUCAGAUGAGCCUAGGUCGGAUUAGCUAGUUGGUGAGGUAAUGGCUCACCAAGGCGACGAUCCGUAACUGGUCUGAGAGGAUGAUCAGUCACACUGGAACUGAGACACGGUCCAGACUCCUACGGGAGGCAGCAGUGGGGAAUAUUGGACAAUGGGCGAAAGCCUGAUCCAGCCAUGCCGCGUGUGUGAAGAAGGUCUUCGGAUUGUAAAGCACUUUAAGUUGGGAGGAAGGGCAUUAACCUAAUACGUUAGUGUUUUGACGUUACCGACAGAAUAAGCACCGGCUAACUCUGUGCCAGCAGCCGCGGUAAUACAGAGGGUGCAAGCGUUAAUCGGAAUUACUGGGCGUAAAGCGCGCGUAGGUGGUUUGUUAAGUUGGAUGUGAAAGCCCCGGGCUCAACCUGGGAACUGCAUCCAAAACUGGCAAGCUAGAGUACGGUAGAGGGUGGUGGAAUUUCCUGUGUAGCGGUGAAAUGCGUAGAUAUAGGAAGGAACACCAGUGGCGAAGGCGACCACCUGGACUGAUACUGACACUGAGGUGCGAAAGCGUGGGGAGCAAACAGGAUU
rnacentral:rRNA from 1 species